rnacentral:rRNA from 1 species
GAACGCUUUUGGGGUUUCGGCCUCAAAGGAGUGGCGCACGGGUGAGUAGCGCGUGGGAACCUGCCCUGUUGUGGGGGAUAACCGAGGGAAACUUCGGCUAAUACCGCAUACGCCCGGGGCAACCCNGGGGAAAGAUUUAUCGCAGCAGGAGGGGCCCGCGUCGGAUUAGCUGGUUGGUGGGUAACGGCCUACCAAGGCGAUGAUCCGUAGCUGGUCUGAGAGGAUGAUCAGCCACACUGGGACUGAGACACGGCCCAGACUCCUACGGGAGGCAGCAGUGGGGAAUAUUGGACAAUGGGGGCAACCCUGAUCCAGCAAUGCCGCGUGAGUGAUGAAGGCCUUCGGGUUGUAAAGCUCUUUCACCCGCGACGAUGAUGACGGUAGCGGGAGAAGAAGCCCCGGCUAACUUCGUG